rnacentral:lncRNA from 1 species
ACACCGAUGGCGUCGGUAUGGACCUCAGUUGGAGCUUGAGGGUCAAAAUGGCGAACAAUGGGUGGUGUCGUGAGAAGCCGUCGCAAGGUGGUGAAAGCCUCGUCGCAGGCAGGGGACCACGAUGAAAGAUCUUUACAGCUGCUGAGUGC